ACAUAUGUUGAGACAGGUAGAUAAGGGUUGGAUUUCAGUAUGAAAUCUCAAAUGGUUGUUCCUCAUCUCAAGCUACCUCGAUAAGUCUCUCUUUAGUUUCUUUUGUUUGAUUUUACACUUGCUUUACUUUUCUUUUAGCUACACAAUGUACAUUUCUUUCCUCUUUUGUUUGUCUUGCUCAAACUAUCUUUUAACUUUUUGUUUUUUUUGAAAAUGUUUUUCAUUUUCUAUUUCUCUCCUUUCUUUCAACCCUUUGAAAACGUUUCUAUUGCUCCCUUGUGUCAAACUUGCUCUCCCUUGUGAAUUAUCACUUUAUACAGUCUUACAAACUUCUCAGCAACAUUAAACAUUUUACUGGAAAAAUGGCAAACUGCUUGUUCCUGGGUUGGUGACCAACAUGUGAGGAGAUUUGAAAGAUGUGCCAAGAAUUGGAACAAGCAACAGUGAUUGUGCUAUAAGUGCCAGUCUCUGGUACCUGAGAUUGGAAUGUGUACAAUCAUAUAAUCUGUAACUUGAGGUAUUCCACGUAAAGACCUGCAUCAUAUUCAAAGACUGAAUAGCUAUGUGUAUGACUAGAGUCUGACAACUAAAGGCAUGGCAUUACUUUUAAAAACUAAAUAAGACUAUUAUUGGCUUAUGAAGAUAUUUAUUAAUAAUGUGAUGGAACCUCUUCACUAGUCUAUUAUGCACAAUAUUAACUUAUCCAUUUUGCUGAAAAAAAAGCACUGAAGUUCACUGUUAUUUAACUGGGAUAGUUUAGCCCAUUUGAAACCAUUUAUUCAUCUGAUACACUGUUGGCCUCUGCUGGUUUUUAAAGUCAUCCCAACUCACUGGCUUCCCACUAAUCUUCACCACAAUGAAGAUUGUGAAGCCACAGAAUGGCUAAAAGGAUGAAAACUGAGAAGAAAGUAUAUACUUAACAUUUGAGUUGUGUACAGAUGUAAAAUAGUUUUGGAUCAUACCAAGCAAAACAAGUUCACGCAAGACAAUAUGCUUACAAAGCAGCAUCAACUAAUGGAACAAGGAGUAGCACAUUAUCAUGUUUUAGAAUUAUGUUUGGCAUAAUGAAUAGAAUGAGAUAAUCUGUCUUAAAUUUCAAAAUACUUUAAAAUAAUGGCACUUUUACCCAUACACAAUAAAUGUGCAACACUCUGUGUUAAAAA